UGCUUCCUGGUGGGGUGUCCCCUUGCGGUGUUCAGAGGUGGUUUCUAAGGUGCAAUAGACACCAUGCAAAUGCUAUUGCCAGCAGGGAAACAAACCCCCUGAGAGUAGAAGGAAGCUCAGCUGCACCAUGACUUAGCCCAACUGCUUCUCUGUUGUGUCCUGACUGUGAACAGCACCCACCCUGUAUCCAGUAAUUAAUCUCACUCCGCCCUCCCCACGCGGCCUUCUGCCUUCGCUUUACUCUGCUGUUUCAUCACCAAGCUCUCUUCAGGUCAAACUGUGUGAGGGUGGAAGACGUGGCUCUGUGGAAGCCAGCAUCAAGCCUCUCCUGGGAAAGUGGAGAUUCUUAGUUUUUAUCUUAAACUACGCCCUGCCUACAGCAGGGAGGGGGAGAGGAAGCGGGUGUGUGUGAACCAGUGCUACAGUGAAGGGGCCAACAGAGACAUGGGUCUCCAGAGGAGAGUAAAGAACACAUUGCUUAGCUUGGAUUCGAUCAACUGCUCGUACAGCACAUCGCUAAUCUUCAUUGUGUACCUCAAAGCGUUCCGUCAUGGCCUCUGACUGCUCUUCUGAUCCUGCUCUGGACUGCCAAGGAGGGUUUUGCUGUGUAGCUCAACUGGGUCUUGGACUUGAGGUCUUCUUGCCUCCAUUCCCAUGGCAUAGAACUCCAGGCACGUCCACCAAGUUGAGUGAUUAUGCCUGCGGAAGUGUGGCAUCUCCAUGGCGUGAGUCUAUCCUGAGGAUGGAUUCUCAUUAAGCAAGGAGUCUGAGAGCUAAAUGGAAGGCCUACCAGUGUCUCUUUGGAAUACCUUCUUCCCUGCCAGGUCAUCUCUUCAAGGAAUGUGGACAAAGGCUGUGACUCCUCAAGCAGAUGUCUUAAUGGGUUACGUCACGGGUGAAGCAAGAGGCCAAGGGCACCCCUUUAGGGAUGAGGAGUCCUCCAUUUUCCAAUACUGUCACAAGGUUCCACCGUGUGAACUUGAGAUUCUCUCUGAUCUUUGUCUCCUGACUCUGGCAUCAUGUUCUGGGAACUGUGUUUUCACAUUUGCAACCAUGAAUAAUGAACUUGUAUGCUUUCUGUGGAAACUGGAAGGACUUGCUUGUAGAUCUCUCUCUUUGAAUACAUUUUUUUUUUUUUGUCACAUGCCAGGGAUAUCACUGGUCUGAGAUUUCUUUUAUGUGCUUUCAAACUCUCUACCACAAUCAUAUUCAAACUCUUAUUGUGUGAACUGAAUAAUUUACACACACACACACACAUACACACACACGCUGCUUAUCACAUUAAGACACACGUAGCACUGGGUGUAGUAAUUCAUAAUUGUGAAUCAAAGCACUUGGGAGGCAGAAGGACAGAAAGAAAAGAGGAAAGGUCCACAAAUUUCCAUCCCAAUUCAGCACAAAUGAAGACGAUCCUCAGCCUGGUCUACAGAGUGAGUUCCAGGACAGCCAGGGCUACAGAAAAACCCUGUCUC
rnacentral:lncRNA from 1 species